rnacentral:rRNA from 1 species
AUUCCAGCUCCAAUAGCGUAUAUUAAAGUUGUUGCAGUUAAAAAGCUCGUAGUUGGAUUUCUGGCGUCGCCGCCCGGUUGGCCUCGAAAGGGGUAUGUACUGGGGCGCGCGUUGCCAUCCUCGGGGGAAGGCCGCCUGGCAUUAGGUUGUCGGACGGUCGACGCUCGUCGUUUACUGUGAACAAAUUAGAGUGUUCAAAGCAGGCUUAGGCCGUUGAAUACAUUAGCAUGGAAUAAUGAGAUAGGACUUUGGUGGUCUAUUUUGUUGGUUUGCACGCCGAAGUAAUGAUUAAUAGGGGCGGUUGGGGGUAUUCGUAUUCAAUUGUCAGAGGUGAAAUUCUUGGAUUUAUGGAAGACGAACUACUGCGAAAGCAUUUACCAAGGAUGUUUUCAUUA